UUUCCUCAGUUUUCUCUUCUAAGAUAGUCUUACCCAGUUCGCAGAGCCUCAAACCUCUUCUAAUCACUUACCUAAUGGCAAAAAUCUCAAACAUCGUCUAAUCACCCAGUUCUCAAGUUGCUGCAAAAAUCUGAACUCUUCCCUGAGUUCUUCUCUUGGGCAACCGGUUAGAUUUCGCGACCUGGCGUUGUGUGUUUGGUCGAGGACAAAGAUGGGUGUCUUAGAUUGUGAUUUCUAAUCAUAUGUUCAGCUACACUUUUUCAACCCUUGGAGAUAUCAACAUUGACAGUUCAGUACUAGCUAGAGUUGGUAGUAGAGCAGCUUUGUAUGCAAUGAAGUAUUAAAUGAUCUACUUUUCGUGAAAUGCAUUUAGCAUUAGAACGUAGCCCAAGGAAAACGAAGGUGAAACAAAAUGGAUACAGAAUGGGCACGUUGUAAAAGCAGCAAUCCUAAGGCCUUUUAUGAUGGAGCGCGAAAGUUUGUUACUGGAUUUGGAGCAGUCCCUUCAAAGUUAGUACAUUUAUCACAAUGUUUUUGUGCUUCGUAGAACUUAUUCUGCUGAUCCUAUAGAGUAUGGAUGGAGGAGAGACCUCAAAACGAGGUGGAAAGAGAGCCAAAAAGCAGGAAAAAAGCUGCAAGAGCAGCUGCUGUUGUUGCAGCCAGGGAAGAAAUGAAUGAAUCUUUUAGAAUCUCUAAUGGAAGUUCAAAUUCAACCCCUGCAGAAGAUGAUAUUCCAGAAGGCCAAGCUACAUCAAACCCAGAAAAGAAACUUUAGUUCAGGUACUGUGAAAUUUUGAGGUGUAUGCGGAUUAAUGCCUUAUGUUGCUAUUGUUGGUAACUUGCUCGAAUUGAUUGGGACAUGCAUUUUUGCAGUUGGCUAAUGGUGCUUGAAAGCUUGCGAUUACCCUGCAAUAUAUUUUUGAACUGUAAUAUGUUACUUUUAAACUCAAGUUUGUAGGGACAUGCAAAUGCAGUUGUUUUGUAGCUUAGUUGCAUAUGGCAUGGAGCCAAGUUU